GCUAGGUAUGGUGGGGCAUGCCUGUAAUCCCAGCAACAUGGGAGGCCAAGGCAGGAGGAUCAUAAGUUUGAGGACAGCCUCAGCAACAUAGCAAGGAUUUCAGCAAUUUAGCAAGAUCCUGUUUCAA
rnacentral:sRNA from 1 species